rnacentral:tRNA from 1 species
GGUCUUAUAUUCAUAGUAUGAUACUAGAAUGCAAUUCUAGAGGUGUAAUUUAAAUACUAAGACUU